rnacentral:misc_RNA from 1 species
UACGGAGGGUGCAAGCGUUAAUCGGAAUUACUGGGCGUAAAGGGCGCGUAGGCGGAUGGAUAAGUCCGCUGUGAAAGGCCUGGGCUUAACCUGGGAAUGGCAGUUGAAACUAUUGAUCUAGAGUCGAGUAGAGGGAAGCGGAAUUUCCGGUGUAGCGGUGAAAUGCGUAGAUAUCGGAAGGAACACCAGUGGCGAAGGCGGCUUUCUGGACUCAGACGGACGCUGAGGCGCGAAAGCGUGGGUAGCGAACAGG